CUUGACAUCCAGAGAACUUGGCAGAGAUGCCCUGGUGCCUUCGGGACCUCUGAGACAGGUGCUGCAUGGCUGUCGUCAACUCGUGUUGUGAAAUGUUGGGUUAACGUCCGCAACGAGCGCAACCCCUAUCCUUUGUUGCCAGCGAUUCGGUCGGGAAACUCAAAGGAGACUGCCGGUGAUAAACCGGAGGAAGGUGGGGAUGACGUCAAGUCAUCAUGGCCCUUACGAGUAGGGCUACACACGUGCUACAAUGGCGCAUACAAAGAGAAGCGACCUCGCGAGAGCAAGCGGACCUCAUAAAGUGCGUCGUAGUCCGGAUCGGAGUCUGCAACUCGACUCCGUGAAGUCGGAAUCGCUAGUAAUCGUAGAUCAGAAUGCUACGGUGAAUACGUUCCCGGGCCUUGUACACACCGCCCGUCACACCAUGGGAGUGGGUUGCAAAAGAAGUAGAUAGCUUAACCUUCGGGAGGGCGUUUACCACUUUGUGAUUCAUGACUGGGGUGAAGUCGUAACAAGGUAAGCGUAGACGU
rnacentral:rRNA from 1 species